CCGGUUGAUCCUGCCGGACCUGACUGCUAUCGGAUUGAUACUAAGCCAUGCGAGUCUUUGUAGCAAUACAAGGCAGACGGCUCAGUAACGCGUAGUCAACCUACCCUAUGGACGGGAAUAACCUCGGGAAACUGAGUAUAAUGCCCGAUAGAACAUUAUGCCUGGAAGGGUUUAUGUUCCAAAUGAUUUAUCGCCGUAGGAUGGGACUGCGGCCUAUCAGUUUGUUGGUGAGGUAAUGGCCCACCAAGACUAUUACAGGUACGGGCUCUGAGAGGAGUAGCCCGGAGAUGGGUACUGAGACACGGACCCAGGCCCUAUGGGGCGCAGCAGGCGAGAAAACUUUGCAAUGUGCGAAAGCACGACAAGGUUAAUCCGAGUGGUUUCUGCUAAAGGAACCUUUUGUCAGUCGUAAAACCACUAACGAAUAAGGGGUGGGCAAGUUCUGGUGUCAGCCGCCGCGGUAAAACCAGCACCUCAAGUGGUCAGGAUGAUUAUUGGGCCUAAAGCAUCCGUAGCCUGCUCUGUAAGUUUUCGGUUAAAUCUGUAUGCUCAACAUACAGGCUGCCGGGAAUACUGCAGAGCUAGGGAGUGGGAGAGGUAGACGGUACUCGGGAGGAAGUGGUAAAAUGCUUUGAUCUCUCGAUGACCACCUGUGGCGAAGGCGGUCUACCAGAACACGUCCGACGGUGAGGGAUGAAAGCUGGGGGAGCAAACCGGAUUAGAUACCCGGGUAGUCCCAGCUGUAAACUAUGCAAACUCAGUGAUGCAUUGGCUUGUGGCCAAUGCAGUGUUGCAGGGAAGCCGUUAAGUUUGCCGCCUGGGAAGUACGUACGCAAGUAUGAAACUUAAAGGAAUUGGCGGGGGAGCACCACAAGGGGUGAAGCCUGCGGUUCAAUUGGAAUCAACGCCGGA
rnacentral:rRNA from 1 species